CUUGGCCGUGAGAUCUGCUUCAGCCAAUGGGAGAUUAGUGGAAACAAAGCAAGCAACAGCUUGCAAUGUACUUGUGUGUUUGUACUUUUCCCUUUGUGUCUCUGCCAUCACCACGAGAAGAGCUUCCCUCAGGAGAUGGCCACCAUCACUUGCGGGCCCAUGAUCAGCAGACCUCAAUCCAUCCCAUGGUGAGCACCCAAGCCCAGCAGAUCUUCAACCUGAAGCAAAGCUGCUAAAUGGAGCCCAAGCCAGAUAAGCCAACUCACAGAUAAACCAUCAGGAAAAUGAAGUAAUCCAACCCAAGAAUUCUCCUCUGGAAGCUCCUCAUAGACUGUCUAUCUGAAGAUAAAAACAACCACAAAUUCAGUUUACAUCUUCUUUUACUCCCUAGCCUGUUGGAGCCAAGGCUGAAUGUCUAGGGCCAAGGAACAACCCAAGCCUGGCUUUGAUUACUGAAAGCUGGAGAAUUUUGAGUGAAAGCUGCAGCCAGCUGCCAGGCUUGUUAUUAGCAAUAAGCAUCAAGCCGUCCUCUGGAGAGCAGGGGCCUUUUGAGAAUGUCAGACAGCAGCCUGCACCUCCCUUUGACAGCACCUGCAGUCACCGCUGGAGCUUUUCAGCUAAGACAUUCUUCUGCAGCCUAAGACGGUCAUGAUGGAGAGAGUGGAAAGGUCUCCAAACCUGGAAGGCUCGGUUCAAACCCCAGCUCUACCCCAACUAUAGGGCUGGGGCAGAUACAGAAGUGAUAUCUGGAGCUAAGCAGUUGCAAUGGGAUCAGCACAAGGAAAAGGCUACGAAAGUGCCAGAAAGGCCAUCUUUGACAUCUUUGAGGGCCUGAAUCAACACCAGCAACCACCAGCUUUCAGAUUUCUUGUUAUAUAAAACUAACCCCUAUGUAUUUAAACUAUAGCUGCUUGGGUAUUUUUCACUUGCAAUUGAACACAAUCCUAAGUGACAUAUUAAUUGUGCUCCAAAUAUGCUGGGAUCAUUCGAAAUCUCUGUGCCUUUGUGUGUGUUGCUCCCUUUACCUGAAGCACCCUCUCCACUCCUUUCUGUUGCUCUAAAUUGCCUUUUUCUUUUAUGAGCCAGAUCGCUACUCACCUCCUCCUAACACCUUCCCUCCAAAGAAUCACAGUCUUGUGCAUUCUGUAAGAUUCUUCAAAACCUCUGCAUAAUGUAGAGAAAGAUACAGUCUUGCAUUCGCCACUAGGUAAGCCUGGAAUUGCUCCAAGUCAUGGUUUUUAUGUUGAUUUCACCUAAACUGAGGGUUUCUCAAAGGCAGGGCCUGUACUCGUGUCUUCAACCUUCCACACACAAUAGAAGGACCUUGUAUAAAUACAGUGAAGUCAUAGGACAUACACAUUUUACUGGAGCAAACGAGCAUGAGUGACGGGGAACAUCAUAGAAGAGUGGGCGAGUCCACGCUGACGGCUGGGAGGGGGAGGUUCCCGUGGCCACCCGAGGCUACUGCAUUUCUUUCUCUCCUAAUGUGACUAUCUCCUUCCAUUGAGUAUGGCUUUAAUAUGAAAAGCGAUUUUUAAAUUUUCAUAUAACAUGCCCACAUAGUGCAAGCCAACUGCCUUAUCUGGUGGCCCGUGGAAGAAAGAGUGAUCUGAUCCAAUGGUGCAGGGACAGUGGCUGUGUCAAACUUACCGAGGGAAUGGAGGCUGCCUUCUGCCAUGUUGUGCCUCCGUUAGGGGUUUUGACUCCAUGUGAUAUGACUGACUUCAGAAUCUGAGCCUCAGGCAAGGCAUGCCCCUGUUUUCUCAAGUCCUGAGUCCUCUUCUUUUUGAUUAUACCCCUCUCCCUGGUCAUUUCCUCACAUGGACGUGGCCACCUGGAUGCCAGCACAUGGAGGGGCUUGUUCAACUGUUCCCUCUUCUUGUCCCUCUGCCUGCCUCUGCCACUGCCAAUAAUCACUUGGUUCUCUCUCCACAAUGUGGCUCAAACUGAUUGGUCUUUGUUUAUGUUCCCACCAGUCCUGCCCUAGAUUAGGCUCUGAACACCUCUUACGGGUAUUGAAAUAGCCUCCUGAUUGUCCCCUUGCCACCUGUCUUGCGUCACAUCAUGCUGUCCUACAGACUGCCAACAAGUUAUCCUUCUAAAGGGUGCCACUGAGCAAGACAUUCCCCUGAUGGAAAUCCUGCAGUGACUUUCCUUUUCUCACAGAAUAAAACUCAGAUUGCUUCUUUA